GACGAACGCUGGCGGCGUGCUUAACACAUGCAAGUCGAACGAUGAAGCAAAGAAUUGAAGCUUCGGCAGAAAUUCAUUUCGGAUUAGUGGCAGACGGGUGAGUAACGCGUGAGCAACCUACCUCUUACAAAGGGAUAGCCUCGGGAAACCGGGAUUAAUACCAUAUAACAUUGCGACGAAGCAUUUCGAUGCAAUCAAAGCUACGGCGGUAAGAGAUGGGCUCGCGUCCCAUUAACCAGAUGGUGAGGUAACGGCUCACCAUAGUAACGAUGGGUAACCGGGCUGGGAGGGUGAACGGUCACACUGGAACUGAGACACGGUCCAGACUCCUACGGGAGGCAGCAGUGGGGAAUAUUGCACAAUGGAGGGAACUCUGAUGCAGCGACGCCGCGUGAGUGAUGAAGGAAUUCGUUUCGUAAAACUCUGUUCUAUGGGAAGAAAAGGACUGUACCAUAGGAGAAAGCUCCGGCUAAAUACGUG
rnacentral:rRNA from 1 species